UGCGUGGGGUCGCUGUCUUUGGGGUUGGGGCCUCCUUGGGGUCAUCGUCUUCUUGGCAUCAUCUUCUUUGGUCAUCGUCUUCUUGGGACCAUCAUCUUCUUGAGGUCAUCGUCUUCUUGGGGUCAUCACCUUAUUGGGGUUGCUGCCUUUGGGGUUGGGGCCUCCUUGGGGUCAUCGUCUUCUUGGGGUCAUCAUCUUUGGGGUUGGCACAUUGGGGUCAUUGUCUUCUUGGGGUCAUUGUCUUUGUGGUUGGCAUAUUGGGGUUAUCAUUUUCUUGGGAUCAUCAUCUCCUUGGGGUCACCAUCUUUGAGGUUUUGGGGUCAUCCUCUUCUUGGGAUCACCAUCUUUUUGGGGUCACCACCUCCUUGGAGUCAUCAGCUUUUUGGGGUCAUUGUCUUCUUGAAGUCACCUCUUUGGGGUCGCCAUCUUUGGGGUUUUGGGGUCACCAUCUUUGGGGUUGUCACCGUCGCUUUGGGGUCUCCCAUCUUUUUGGGGUCUCCACUUUUGGGGUCACUUUGGGGUUCAUUGCCAAAUUAAAAACCAAACCCCAAAACACCCAAUGAAUCAAAGUUCCUUUUAAUGUGGAGGUUCCCAGAAGGGACAGCGGGAACCAUGGGGACGUUUGGGGCCAAUGGGGGCACAUGGG
ensembl:lncRNA